UAUUUUGGUGCGUUUUUGUUGUUGUGUGGUUAAACGCUGGUGCAAAAGUUGCUACACCUUGGCCAAGUGAAAAUGAUGAGGGUGGAGAACAAAGACCAAGAAAGUAAAAUAUGUUGAUUGAGGGUGGAGGAAAAGUGCCAACCUGGGAACCAAAAUGUUUUUUGUUGGUGCGGCAUGCCAAGUCUGGAAGGCAGCCAGGCCAGGUGACUCUGCCUUUUAUUGGUCGAAAUUUUCCAACACAGGUCCAUGAAGGCUGUGUCUAGCAGUGUGGGCAUGUCCUGCGGCGGGUAUUUAUUGACGGUGGCGGAGGUUGUCAGGCAUCUUUAAGCUCUGCGGUCAUGGAUACGCCGAUGCUAACCUUCACCGUGUUGCUACUGCUGCGGAUGAUCACAGAAUGCGGAGGGCAACUAGCGUGCGGUCAAGCGCCUCUCAACAAUGGCAAUCCGGGGGCCACCCCAGGUGCGUGGCCCUGGCAGGUCAGCCUGCAC